UGCGCUGUUGUCCUCUGUUCCGUGUCCAUUCUCCUCCUGCGGGGACGUUGAUGCUGAUGCGGGGCGGCUCUUCUCCUCCUCCCACCGCCUCCUCCCAUCAGUGACUCUGUCAUUUCGCCUCACCCUCACUUGUUGGAUGUGUCCUCUUGAAGUGAUUUCAAAUCCACCUGCUCGUCGUUUUGUCCUGUUGGAUUCCUGGGGAGAUUAGCGCUGUGCGUGAAGGUGAAACAUGUUUCUUUGUGCGUAAAAAGACGCUCGCCGCUCGUGCAGCGCAGCGUUCUCCUGGUCCCGCAGCUCGUUUGCGUGCUGCACAGUGACCGUGUUUCCUUCUGGCCCCGCUUCUUUUCGCUGCUGCUUGUCUGACCUCGUGUACGGGGAUCCUACAAGCUUCGGGGCGUUUUUUUUUUUAUUUUGGUUGUUUUUCUUAAGUCGCUCCGUGCGCACCAGCUCCGGAUCAUCCUUGAGAGAGCUCAGUCGCAGUCCCAUGUGCAGCGUUUCUCUGCUGUCCUCUCUCUGCUAUAAAGAUGCUGGUGGCUUUGCAUGGUCUACAAGAAAACAGGCUGAACUACCCGACUAUGUAAGGAAAUCAGAGAUGUUCAUCUGCAUCGGUUAUCAGGCAACAUGACCUUUCUCCAUUGGAGCUUGAAUUGAUUACUGUUCAUACAACAACACUCCUCUGAUGUGUUAAGCAACUUUACUGAAC